UAUUCAAUAGUAUAAUUUCUUACAUUCGUUUUUGGCGCGGAAAAUGGGUUAAUCCCUUGAAUAA
rnacentral:tRNA from 1 species